CACCCCUUCUCCUCCCUGCUUUGCCACCGUGCUCCCCACCCCUUCUCCUCCCCGUAUCCAUGGGUUCUUGGAGGUGGUAAGGAAAAGGCUGCAACGAAGCAGCAGCGCCGUGCGCAGCUCUGAUGGCCAGCACAGCCAACGCUGCUGUCGUGCCACCACCCUCAUCGCCAAGAAUAAGUCCACCUGCAGGCCUAGAUUCGUUGAGACAGAGCUACAGAUGCUAAUAAUGGUGGUGCUAAGAUGAGGAUCUGAGGUUCCCCUCUCCCAUGUCAAAUCGCCUUUUUGUAUUGGGCUCGGUCUGAAUUACUCUGUGUGUGCAAAAGAAAUAUCAAUGCUAAUUAGUUUUACACUGAAAAAACAAGACAACCAAUGUAUGAACUUUUCAGUCUUCUGUAUUUGCAGAUUAGUUCCUUAAAAAAACCAUCUCCACUAACAUGUGUGUGUGGCCUAGGAAGGAAUAGUACGAUGGCGGCAAGCUGGAGCGACAAGGUUGCCAUGGCUGCUCCUCCAUAUAAAGAUUUUCAUGCUUGCUUGUUAUCUUCAUGCCAAUCCAUGUCUUUCAUUAGAAGAGUUGAACACCGGCAAGGGAUAACAUCAGUAGGCCGGCUUGCUUUGAGAUUAAUAGUGCCGACGGAGAUGUUAUUUGGAAUUGCUUUGUGUGCAAUUAAUUAUCAGAUGCCCCUGCGCCGCGGGGACUUACUACAGACAAUUGCAAUCUGCAUACCAGAUUGGUUCUGAUCAGAUGAUCUUUCAGAUGGAUGUUGAGUAAUUUCAUGCAAAUUUGAAAGAUCGUUUAAAGGAGAAGCAACGUUAUGUACCUGUGUGCUCCCUACCAGUGGUGCACCUUGAAGUCAGACUGGGUUGUCAUAUGCUUCUUCCUUAAGAUUCAGAAUACUGGGAUGUGAUGUACCUUGAAGUUCAGGUUCUAAUAAAUAUUUGGCUUGGUCAAAGCAAAGCAGUUACGAAGUUGAUACCCAUUUUGCUAGAAUAUCCAGCUUCGGUGAAAGGACCGGAAGAUAACCACAAUCUUUUGGGACGCAUGUUUGGCUUUGUAUCACUUGCAAGGUCUUGGAGUUUUCAAGAUAGUGGACAUGGGUCACAUCUUCAGUUGUUAUCAAGGAGUUUGUUGCUGAAGAAAUACAACAUGGUCGUAGGUGGCUCUAUGGUGUUCUGGUCUUGCGAGCUUGUGGUAGGCCAGUGCUGAAAAGGUGUGUUGCAAUGCCAGCAUGCAGCCGGCGGCCGUCGAGGAAACUCAAGCACACUUUCCUCUGUACACCUAGGAAUAUGUUCUCUCUGGUACUAUAAUUUUCAUCUCUUAUAGAUUAAAUUAUGAACACUAGCUGCACACCAACAUGCAAUGUUUUUCAGCAAUCAAACUUUUAUAUACUCUGCAAUUGUAAGCUUUUUAAUCGAUCUGAAUUUCGCAUCUACACUUCUUCCUUUAGUUAAUUGGUUCUUUCUCCACAAUUGGUGUGUGCUGCUAUGUAUGACUGCAAACCUGACAUAAUUUAGCUUUCUCUUAAUUCUCCAUUAGAUUUACUUCUAUUCUGUGUUAUAUUUCCAAGUCUAUUUAAGCAUGAUCACAGUUACUAAUUUUCUUGCGUUUAGCUUUCUUACUAUCCCAUUAUAUUUACUUCCAUGGCAUUUCUUUCUAAGAAGCUAUUACUUACCAAAUUUUAUCUUUGCACUAUUAUAUACUCUGAUAUCACUGCAAAUUUUGGUUCUUUGACUAAAAAGGGCUUGGUUCUUUUGGUGUUGAUUACGCAAUAAUAUUGCUGUGCAUCCCAAUUCAGUAGGGGCCAUCUGCAAAGGCCAUUUUUGUUUCUAGAGGCAUAUGCCAAACCCAUGACUUAAAUAAUUUGAGACCACUGGAUUUGUAAGAUUUUUAAACUGUUCUUCACCAUUGUUCUGUGUCUGAAAUAUGUUGGUGUAGCCUAUGAGGGAACCUACUGAACAAUCGUAUCAGUCAUGCAAUUUCAUGUUUAGUGCUUGCUCUCUUUCCUACUGAGAUAGAUGCUAUUGGUGUAUAUACUUAUAUGUGAUGAUGCCAUGAUUGUCUGCCCUCGAAUGCUUGGUUAUUUUUCAGCAUGCGCUUUCUUUCAUAAUUCCGAGUUCAGAAGUAAAGGGGAUUGAAAUUAUAUUUUCAUGUUCCAUUUUAAUUUAGCUGACAUAGAAUUGUGACCAAUUGGUACAUAGACAACGCCAUUUCUGAACUGAAGGGGAAAAGAGAAUAGGAGUUCAGUCUGUAUCAAUUAUAUUUAGCCAACUUGGAUGACCACUAAAACUAAAUCCAUCUGUCAUGUAUAUCAACUGUGAUCCUGUUAACUUUACGUCAGAAAAAUACCAGGUUGCUUAAAAGGGUGGAUUUCACCGAUUUGAAAUUCAGCUUGUUUUUCUUAGUUAUGAGCUAAAAUCUUCUACUGAUAGGCUGAUAAGUAAAUCACUUGACCAUAUCAAUUUACAUCAAUCAAAAACACUUCUGGUUGCCAAUGCCGUUAGGAUUUGUCUGCAGCUCCUGCUGAUCUUGGCCAGUCAGAUGGACUUUUGGGCAAAGGAUACCUUCAGCUCACUUAGUAUAUUUAUUAUUCUUCAAUGUUCUCCUUUGUUUUUAGAUAUGCUUUAUGAUUUUGAUGUUGUUUCUUUUACCGUGAUCUGAAAUAAGUUCUGGUUUAGUUAUCUGUUUUGGUUUUUGUUAGGAUAGGAAUACUACACAGAUGGUCAUGCUCUCAGUCCUUUGUUUAACUUGAUCUUUCUUUCUCAGGUUAAUCAUGUAAUCAUUACAUAGAUAUUUCAGAAGCAUAUCACAGGAUUUCUUUGCUUGAACUGGGAAUGAUAAAUCUCCGCAGCUGUAUUCUUCUUUGUUCCCAUAUAUCCAGUCGUUCAAGAUUGACCUAUUAGUUAGACUUACAGAGUUUUUGAGUAGGUGCACUAAUGUGUCAUGUUCCAUGCUCCAGGACAUGCUGAAGAAACUGCAACUGUCCAAUUAAAUAACAGUCAGAGCACGAGAUAUAUGGUUCUGAGUGAAAGGAAAAUACUGAAAAAUUAUAGCCAGAAUGGGUUUGUCAUUGAAGAUUAUGCUACCGCUUCUAUGUACAAUAUAUUUCUCUACAUUUUCUUUACAUCUAUUUAUUACUAAUUACUACUUAUUAUCGGCUUGCAUUGCUUAACUGAUCUGUGUAAUUUUGUGUUGGUCCCAGUAAUUAAGUCAACUACAUUCUCUUUGUUCCCUUUUUGAAAAAUAUAAUAUUUUACAAAA